GGACGGGUGAGUAACGCGUGGGUAACCUGCCUUAUACAGGGGGAUAACAGUCAGAAAUGGCUGCUAAUACCGCAUAAGCGCACAGAGCUGCAUGGCUCAGUGUGAAAAACUCCGGUGGUAUAAGAUGGACCCGCGUUGGAUUAGCUAGUUGGUGGGGUAACGGCCCACCAAGGCGACGAUCCAUAGCCGGCCUGAGAGGGUGAACGGCCACAUUGGGACUGAGACACGGCCCAGACUCCUACGGGAGGCAGCAUG
rnacentral:rRNA from 1 species